CGCAGCCGCGGUAAUUCCAGCUCCAAUAGCGUAUAUUAAAGUUGUUGCAGUUAAAAAGCUCGUAGUUGAAUUUCGGGGUUAGUAAGUUGGUCAUGCCUUCGGUAUGUACUGGCUUUACUGAUCCUCCUUCUUGACGAACCGUGAUGUCAUUAAUUUGGUGUUGCGGGAAAUCAGGACUGUUACUUUGAAAAAAUUAGAGUGUUUAAAGCAGGCUAACGCUUGAAUACAUUAGCAUGGAAUAAUGAAAUAGGACGUUAAUCCUAUUUUGUUGGUUUCUAGGAUCGACGUAAUGAUUAAUAGGGAUAGUUGGGGGCAUUAGUAUUCAAUUGUCAGAGGUGAAAUUCUUGGAUUUAUUGAAGACUAACUACUGCGAAAGCAUUUGCCAAGGAUGUCUUCAUUAAUCAAGAACGAAAGUUAGGGGAUCGAAGACGAUCAGAUACCGUCGUAGUC
rnacentral:rRNA from 1 species